rnacentral:rRNA from 1 species
GAUGAACGCUGGCGGCGUGCUUAACACAUGCAAGUCGAACGGGAAUUACUUUAUUGAAACUUCGGUCGAUUUAAUUUAAUUCUAGUGGCGGACGGGUGAGUAACGCGUGGGUAACCUGCCUUAUACAGGGGGAUAACAGUCAGAAAUGGUUGCAAAUACCGCUUAAGCGCACGGAGCUGCAUGGCUCGGUGGGAAAAACUCGGGUGGUAUAAGAUGGACCCGCGUUGGAUUAGCUUGUUGGUGGGGUAACGGCCCACCAAGGCGACGAUCCAUAGCCGGCCUGAGAGGGUGAACGGCCACAUUGGGACUGAGACACGGCCCAGACUCCUACGGGAGGCAGCAGUGGGGAAUAUUGCACAAUGGGGGAAACCCUGAUGCAGCGACGCCGCGUGAAGGAAGAAGUAUCUCGGUAUGUAAACUUCUAUCAGCAGGGAAGAUAGUGACGGUACCUGACGAAGAAGCCCCGGCUAACUACGUG